UACGUAGGGUGCAAGCGUUAAUCGGAAUUACUGGGCGUAAAGCGUGCGCAGGCGGUGAUGUAAGACAGGUGUGAAAUCCCCGGGCUUAACCUGGGAACUGCAUUUGUGACUGCAUCGCUGGAGUGCGGCAGAGGGGGAUGGAAUUCCGCGUGUAGCAGUGAAAUGCGUAGAGAUGUGGAGGAAUACCGAUGGCGAAGGCAGCCCCCUGGGUCAAGAUUGACGCUCAUGCACGAAAGCGUGGGGAGCAAACAGG
rnacentral:rRNA from 1 species